rnacentral:antisense_RNA from 1 species
UUGCGUCCUCCCCGCGCGGCGGACAGCCCGGGCGCCCUUCCUCUCUGCGGGACUGCAGAGUAUAAUUUUAAAAAAAGUCACAGAAGAAUGUGGAGACACUUAGCAAACCUGACUCUCAUAAGGUUCCCUAUUUUGUCAGUAAGGAAGUAAACAACCGCUAAAACAACCCUCUAACAACAGAAGACCCUCAUGAGAACACUAGGCAGCAGAAGCUUCUUUAGCAGUAAAAGAUAUCUGGAUAUUCAUAUUUUGUUCCAUGAUCUUUAACAUUAAAUAAAUAAACUUAAUAUUG